AGAGUUUGAUCAUGGCUCAGAUUGAACGCUGGCGGCAGGCUUAACACAUGCAAGUCGAGCGGGGGAGGUUACUUCGGUAACUGACCUAGCGGCGGACGGGUGAGUAAUGCUUAGGAAUCUGCCUAUUAGUGGGGGACAACAUUCCGAAAGGAAUGCUAAUACCGCAUACGUCCUACGGGGGAAAGCAGGGGAUCUUCGGACCUUGCGCUAAUAGAUGAGCCUAAGUCGGAUUAGCUAGUUGGUGGGGUAAAGGCCUACCAAGGCGACGAUCUGUAGCGGGUCUGAGAGGAUGAUCCGCCACACUGGGACUGAGACACGGCCCAGACUCCUACGGGAGGCAGCAGUGGGGAAUAUUGGACAAUGGGGGGAACCCUGAUCCAGCCAUGCCGCGUGUGUGAAGAAGGCCUUUUGGUUGUAAAGCACUUUAAGCGAGGAGGAGACUCCUUUAGUUAAUACCUAAAGAGAGUGGACGUUACUCGCAGAAUAAGCACCGGCUAACUCUGUGCCAGCAGCCGCGGUAAUACAGAGGGUGCGAGCGUUAAUCGGAUUUACUGGGCGUAAAGCGUGCGUAGGCGGCUUUUUAAGUCGGAUGUGAAAUCCCUGAGCUUAACUUAGGAAUUGCAUUCGAUACUGGAAAGCUAGAGUAUGGGAGAGGAUGGUAGAAUUCCAGGUGUAGCGGUGAAAUGCGUAGAGAUCUGGAGGAAUACCGAUGGCGAAGGCAGCCAUCUGGCCUAAUACUGACGCUGAGGUACGAAAGCAUGGGGAGCAAACAGGAUUAGAUACCCUGGUA
rnacentral:rRNA from 1 species